ensembl:processed_transcript predicted gene 20544
GUUACCGCCACCCUCUCCCAGGUCUAGAGAGGGUACCCAGGGGCGGAGGGAGGUGGGAGACCGAGACGGCCCCGGGGGUCGGCGGAGACCCAGCGGGAGCAGGGGGAAAUCGGAAGAGCUGGGGGCAUGGAGCGGGCGAGUUUGGAGCGGAAUGAGCCGCUACGUUGUGGAAGGAAGACAACUGUAUAGGACCAUCAACAGGACCGGACAGAGAGUGGCACGGAGGCAGUAAUUACUGGAUGGCAUGGUAAUUCGGCUAAAAAUUAAAAUGCCACGUAUUGGAAUUGUGUGGGAACACUCUAAAGCAACCCGGGAAGAAGACAGCAGUCAAGGAGACCAAAGAAAGAAAUGGAGGACAUUACAGGCAGGGAAGGACUGACCAAAGAGACAGAAAUGUGUCAUCUUAGAAAAGAAUGGGAAGGGGCUGGAGAGAAGGAAAGAACAGUGGAUGCUCUUUCUGGGGACCUAAGUUGGCCUCCUAACAUCUUCAGGUACCUCAUAACUGCAUGUAACUCCAGCUCCAGGAGUUUCUGGAUUCUUCUGCUCUCCUCGGCACUACAUUCACACACGCGCACACACACAUACACACAUACAAAUUAAUCUUAGAG